rnacentral:rRNA from 1 species
GACGAACGCUGGCGGCGUGCUUAACACAUGCAAGUCGAACGGAAAGGCCCUGCUUUUGUGGGGUGCUCGAGUGGCGAACCGGUGAGUAACACGUGAGUAACCUGCCCUUGACUUUGGGAUAACUUCAGGAAACUGGGGCUAAUACCGGAUAGGAGCUCCUGCUGCAUGGUGGGGGUUGGAAAGUUUCGGCGGUUGGGGAUGGACUCGCGGCUUAUCAGCUUGUUGGUGGGGUAGUGGCUUACCAAGGCUUUGACGGGUAGCCGGCCUGAGAGGGUGACCGGCCACAUUGGGACUGAGAUACGGCCCAGACUCCUACGGGAGGCAGCAGUGGGGAAUAUUGCACAAUGGGCGGGAGCCUGAUGCAGCAACGCCGCGUGCGGGAUGACGGCCUUCGGGUUGUAAACCGCUUUCGCCUGUGACGAAGCGUGAGUGACGGUAAUGGGUAAAGAAGCACCGGCUAACUACGUG